rnacentral:rRNA from 1 species
CCUACGGGAGACAGCAGUGAGGAAUAUUGGUCAAUGGACGCAAGUCUGAACCAGCCAUGCCGCGUGCAGGAAGACGGCUCUAUGAGUUGUAAACUGCUUUUGUACGAGGGUAAACGCAGAUACGCGUAUCUGUCUGAAAGUAUCGUACGAAUAAGGAUCGGCUAACUCCGUGCCAGCAGCCGCGGUAAUACGGAGGAUUCAAGCGUUAUCCGGAUUUAUUGGGUUUAAAGGGUGCGUAGGCGGUCGGAUAAGUUAGAGGUGAAAUCCCGAGGCUCAACUUCGGAAUUGCCUCUGAUACUGUUCGGCGAGAGAGUAGUGGCGGUAGGCGGAAUGUAUGGUGUAGCGGUGAAAUGCUUAGAGAUCAUACAGAACACCGAUUGCGAAGGCAGCUUACCAAGCUACUUCUGACGUUGAGGCACGAAAGCGUGGGGAGCAAACAGGAUUAGAUACCCCUGUAGUC